AUCUUUUGGCUAAGAAAGAUGAGAAGAAAACAUCAAGUGUAGUAUAUGUUCUUAUUAAUUUAAUAUCUGAUGAUACACGGACCAUGUGUCCACUUCGAUAUUAAAUUUAUUUUUCACAGGGUAGAGUCCACAACAAUGGCUUGUCAUUGGAGUCCUUUAGUGUCACCCAGCGACGCAGUUUUU
rnacentral:snRNA from 2 species